CACUCUCAAGAGGAGAAGAGAAGAUAGAAAAGUAGUCCUGCAAUGUGACUCCGUUCUAAACUUGGCACCAGUGAGAAUGGGGGAAGCAGAGACAUGCAGAGAAAGCCAGAAAUGCGGGGGACCGCUCAGUACGUGUUUUUGGCUGGAGUGAAUGAGUUGAAAGAGAAAAACUGGAGCAAAUGAAGAGAACCAGGGAAAAUAACCUAUCAGCGCCCUGUACUCGGAAGUCAUGCUUCAAGCGACAGGAAGGGACUACCUGCCAUCGAGAGUGGUCACAGAGAACGUGUUCACCAGAUCCAUGCUCACCUUUCAUGCCAACCCGGCUUCAUGGGGAAAUUAGUUUGAUGUCUUGAGGCCUUCCAGACCUUGCUCCACCUCCACCACCAGGUCUCCAGUCCUGAGCCACAUGCUGCCAUUUUUGUCUCAGAAGCACCCCUCUUCCAGGUAACAAGUGUUUUUUUUUCUGGUAACCUAUUGCUGCAUAACUACCCCAAAAGUCAGUGACUGAAAGCACAUGCAAUUUGACUAUGUUUUGUCAUUUGGGAAGUGAGGAAUUUGAACAAGAGUUCAUGUUGUAUUAACUGAGGUCACCUAGUGCUGGGGACUGAACAUUUGUGUCCCCUCAAAAUUCAUACCUUUGAAAUCCUCACUGCCAAUGUGAUGGUGUUAGGAGGUGGGGUAUUUGGGAGGUGAUUAGGUCAUGGGGAUGGAGCCCUCAUGAAUAGGAUUACUUCCUUAUAAGGAGAGACACAAGUGCUAGCUCUCCCUUUCUGCUUUCUGCCCCUGCGACGAUACAAUGAGAAGGUACCCAUCUGCAAACCAGGAAGUGAGUCCUUACCAGACACCAAAUCUGCUGGUGCUUGGAUCUUGGACUUCCCAGCUCC
rnacentral:lncRNA from 1 species